rnacentral:lncRNA from 1 species
UCUCCCUCUCUAUCUCUCUCUCUCCCUCUCUUUCUCUCUUCCCUGAGAGCCCACCCCUCAAAAAAUUGGGGUUUUCCCUUCCUUCAUCUUCUUCCCCUUCCUUGAGAGCAGCUGCCGCCGCCGCCGCCGGAGCCGCCAACGCCGCCGGAGAACCACAAGUCGACGACUAGAGGUGAGAAAGGUAACCUAUUUAUUUUUUUUUUUUGGAAUUUAAGGGGAGAGAAAUGAGGGAUGCCAACCGGGUUCCAUU